GGAAGGGUGUCCGAGUGGUUUAAGGAGCACGCUUGGAAAGCGUGUGUGUGGGCAACUGCACCGUGGGUUCGAAUCCCAUCCCUUCCGCCA
rnacentral:tRNA from 1 species